UACUUUGGUCAUCCAGCUUUAUGGGUCUUUAAUUGAUCAUAAAGCUAGGUAACCAAAGAA
rnacentral:pre_miRNA from 1 species